rnacentral:rRNA from 1 species
GACGGGGGCUCACACAAGCGGUGGAGCAUGUUGCUUAAUUCGAAGCAACGCGAAGAACCUUUACCUGGGUUUGACAUGCACGGAUUAGUCAUUGGAAACAGUGAUGACGCUCUUCGAGUGGAGCGUGCACAGGUGCUGCAUGGCUGUCGUCAGCUCGUGCUGUGAAGUGUCGGGUUAAGUCCCUUAACGAGCGCAACCCUUAUCGCUAGUUGCCAGCGCAUUAUGGCGGGGACUCUAGCGAGACUGCCGGUGUCAAACCGGAGGAAGGUGGGGAUGACGUCAAGUCCUCGUGGCCUUUAUGCCCAGGGUGGCAAGCGUGCUACAAUGGCGUGUACAGAGCGACGCGAUACCGUGAGGUGGAGCAAAUCGCAAAAAGCACGCCCCAGUUCGGAUAGCAGUCUGCAACUCGACUGCUUGAAGCCGGAAUCGCUAGUAAUCGCGGCUCAGCCAUGCCGCGCUGUUACGUUCCUGAGCCUUGACACACCGCCCGUCAAGUCAUGGAAGCCGGGAGUGCCCGAAGUCGCUUCGAUUCAG